AGUGGAGUGGCUGAGACAGAUAAGUAGGCGGUAGGCUGUAAAUCUAUUUAGGAGGUUAGUACGUGACUCUUCCACUAUUAU
rnacentral:tRNA from 1 species